UGUUUGUUUGAACACAAUAUACACUUUCUUAUCGCAUUGCCGUGUGUCGUCGUUGUCAGCACCUCACGCCGCACGUUGCUGCAACUUAGUUCGGCAUCGACGCGCCGGCCUUGCGCACCUCUUGCUUUCUUAUCAUGAACUGCCUCGUCGUUGCUUAUGCGGUUUGCGGCCAGUUUCGUGUCGGUCCCUGGUUGAUUCACACGUGUUUUGUGCGACUCGUUUUGUUUAUCCGUACUUCUACUUUCCAAUUCGUAUUAUAUUCGAUCAUCAAUGGAUUAUUUAAUUUUACGAGUAACUUUAGUACAGUUAUUUAUUAUUUGCGCGUAAGUGUAUCGCUGCCAUGUUGAUUUAUUCAUCAUUUGAAUGACCCAUCGUGCUGCUUAUUUGCCGUGCCUUGGAGUCUGAUGAGUUCUGCAUUGGUAAGUUUAUAUUCAAUGUCAAUUAUAUAUUUCGUUUUAUUUUCUGCGUCGACCAUUACUUUGCAUUUACGUGCUUUUUUUGUCACGGUGCAGCGCCCUCUACUAAAGCGUGAGCAUUAAAUAAUUUAAUUUGUUUUAUUAUUGGGUGUAACGUCUUACAAACUAGGCCGCGGGGUCCAAAUAUGCAGAAUUAAAUUGUUUAUCCGGUUGUAUUUAAUUGUUGCAAGGAAAGCGCUUAUACGAUACGAUUUAUGAUUUACUAUUGAAAACAAACAUGUGAAACGCAGCUUAUCUGAUAGAGAAUCUUCCAAUCUAUCAUAAUCAGCAAUUCGUUGCUUGCUAUCGCUUUUAGUUUAAGAGAUAUGAAUUAUCCAAAAUCAUCGAAAAAAAGUAUCAAGCACCCCCCCUUGGCAAUUUUUUCUUAAGAAUGAAAAUUUCAUCUCUCAGAUUUCCGUUUUAACUAUCCUAUCUUAUAGAGGAUAGUCCGUAGAUUAAGAUGCUGCGAUCAGAUCUUAAUUAUCUCUUUUAGUUUACGAGAUAUUCGCAUUUGAAAAAAAAAGGGCAAAAAUUGAAAAACGUCACUUUUUAGCACUUUUAGUCGCGUUUUUCGACCUUUUACUGUAGGAAAUAUAAUUAUUUUAUUUUUUUAUCUGAUUGAGAAUUUUCCAAUCUUUCAUAAUCAACAAUUCGUUGGUCGCUAUCACUUUUAGUUGAGGAGAUAUUAAUUAUCAAAAAUCGUCGAAAAAAAGUAUCAAGCAUCCCCCCUUGGCAAUUUUUUCUUAAGAAUGAAAAUUUCAUCUCUCAGAUUUCCGUUUUAACUAUCCUAUCUUAUAGAGGAUUGUCCGUAGAUUAAGAUGCUGCGAUCAGAUCUUAAUUAUCUCUUUUAGUUUACGAGAUAUUCGCAUUUGAAAAAAAAGGGCAAAAAUUGAAAAAUGUCACUUUUUAGCACUUUUACUAGCAAUUUUCGACCUUUUUCUGUAGGAAAUAUAAUUAUUUUAUAUUUUUAUCUGAUAGACAAUUUUCCAAUCUUUCAUAAUCAACAAUUCGUUGGUAGAUAUCUCUUUUAGUUUAAGAGAUAUGAAUUUUUGAAAAUCGUCGAAAAAAAGUAUCAAGCACCCCCCCUUGGCAAUUUUUUCUUAAGACUUAAAAUUUCAUCUCUCAGAUUUCGGUUUUAACUAUCCUAUCUGAUAGAGAUUGGUCCGUAGAUUAAGACGCUGCGAUCAGAUCUUAAUUAUCUCUUUUUGUUUACGAGGUAUUCGUAAAAUGGGCAAAAAUUGAAAUCACGCAAACGCGGUAUCAAAAUCGCGUUUUGCCCUAUAUUAAACAUUAUUGCAAGAAAAUUCCGUAACGCGAGAUAUGUAGAAAGUUGUGUGUAUACGCACCAGUACUCGUUGCGCUUGGAAUUGUAGUUUUUUUGAUAUUACACGCGAACGCGGUGUCAUAAUAAGUUUAAAUAAAUUUUCCUACAUGCAGAAUUUAAUUCUACGUCUCCUUGUAUUAAACAUUGUUGCAAGAAAAUUCCGUAACGCGAGUUAUAUUAAAAGUUGUGUGUAUACUCACUAGUAGUCGUUGUGCUAGGAAUUGUAGUUUAGUCACCUUUACUGCUAGCCUCGUAAGGUAUCCUAUAUCGAGUCACUGCUACCGCUAGCCUCGUACGGUGCCCAGAACACGAGUCACUUCUACCGCUACCCUCGUGCGAUGCCCUGAAUGGGAGUCACUUUUACCGUCACCCUCGUCACGUGAUUGAAGAUUAUAAAACUUCCAAAAAUUUUUUAUAGAAUAGGAUAAUGAAAUAUAUUAAUUUCGUGAAGUAAAGGUUCCAAAAUAGUUGUUAAAGUAGCUAAUAUAAGAGAUUUUCCUUGUUGUUCCCAGAUUUUUCAGUUGCGAUUUCUCCUAAACUGCCUUUUCAUAUAGACUGCGUUCAAUUCCGGAUUGUAGGAUACAUUGUUUAUGUGAAUAAGAGGGUACGUUCAGAAUAUAAAAUCUUUCCAUUGUAUUGAACUGUAUCCACAACAUGAAUAGUUUAUACUCAUAGUUCGCACUCUUGGCUCUUAUCGGUGUUUGUGCACAAACAACUUGUUUUUAUUGCGUUGCAGCGCAUCCGAUGCGCUCAGCAGUGUUUGUGCCAUUUCUUACUUAGUCGAUCGUGCGCUGCGGCGUAGUGUGCACGCGUUUACUCGCGCGGCGGUCUUUAUGGCGACUUAUCGCGUUUCUUGUGAUUUUAAAUCGGUAGUUGAAUUAUAAUCAGUCACCAAUGAUAAGAUUUAGAAUUAACAGACAAGUUAAUAAUUUCGGCCUCUAAUUUCGUGGUUUAAAACGUACGCACCACGUGUUUUCCGUCGGCCGUCGGAUAUCUUCCGUCGGCUAAGAAAUACUCAGGCUUGUUUCGUGUAUCCAUUUAAUUAUUAAUUUGAAUGAACAUCAUUUGUGCAUCGUAUGGAAUAUUUCACCUGCAAAAACGUAAAAAAGUAUGUAACAUAAAAACUAUAUUCUAUUAGAAUUACCAACCUUAUAAAGAAAAACGAUAAGAAAAAUUAAUUAACACUUUAAUACAUAGCAUAGUCGUCACAAGGUUGCAUAUAAUAAUCUUUGUAAUACAAGUAUUGGAAUAUUGUCGCGUUCCGUCGGCUGCGCAUUUGCUCUCAUUCGGGACUUUGUCGUGCCUUCUUUUUGCUUUUGUAUUCAUAAUUCUGCCUGUGCUAAUUUUGUGUUUAAGAGAUCUGAACUUAGUAUAUUUUUAAAAUGUGUUUAAUAAAUUUAUAAUUAUUAGUAAUAUGAAUUAUUUAUUAUGUUUCUAUUCACGUACUUAUCACUUCCCCUAGAUAAACAGUAGAAAACAGGUAAUAAAACAUUCACUUUUGA